rnacentral:misc_RNA from 1 species
CAUGAUGGUUCCACUGUUCUCUCCAAUUCCUCCAAAUCACUCUCAAGCUUCUUUAGCAGGGCACGUAUCCCAGGUCGAACAUGUUCAGCCUCAACAACAUCGAAGGGAGGGAACUCAUAAUCCUGCGUGAGAGGAUUGGAAUGGAAAGUCUCAUCAGGAGCAGCCAUUGAAGGUGGUGAGAGUGAAGAAUAACAAGGAGAGGAAUAGUGAAGAAAGACACAGAAAGCAGUGGAUUU